ACCUGACUUUCUUUCGGACAUUCGAAACCAUCUUUCAACUUCUUGUCUACUACUCCACAUCCCUACAGAAAUAUAUAGAAGUAUAUACAUACUCGUAGAGAACAGAUUGUUGUUACGGACACAAAAUAUUUACUUCUCGACCAGCGCUGUCAGGCCAUACACACGUGCCACUAUAUUCAUCGAAGUGCAGUCCAGUGGUACACGUAAUUUCGAUAGCUUCGCCGUCAAUGCAAUUGUAAAAGAUAUUACAAACAGACGGAUCUGGAUGAGCGAAGAAACCGUUUCUUCGCGGACACUUCUUGGUCGGUUGAGGUGGUUCUGCACGGGUAAAAGAAACAUAACGGUAAUAUUGAAAGCACUUUCAUUAUUUAUCGUUAUCGAAUCCUGUAUGUCAAGGACAUUAACCGCAAAAGCCAAUGACACGCGUAACGUGUCGCACUCGGACAGCUCAAUUUUAUUCCAAUGAAUAUUUUCAGUACUUGAUACAGAUAUUUAUUGCAAGAAUAUAAAAAAAUGAUUAAAUUAUGACGGUCCAGAAUUUAUUUAAUGUUAUUAAUAAAGAUUACUAAAUUUUUGUGUAA